rnacentral:tRNA from 1 species
GAAGGUAUAGCUCAAGUGGCAGAGUGCAUGCUUAGCAUGCACGAGGUUCUGGGUUCAAUCCCCAGUACCUCCU